CCUAGCAUGAAGUCAGACAAGUGA
rnacentral:rRNA from 10 species